rnacentral:rRNA from 1 species
AUGUACAUGACUAAAAUGUUAAUGCACUUGAUCCUAUUAGAACUCCAUAGUUAAGCCCGUUUGGGCUAGAGUAGUACUGGGAUGGGUGACCUCCUAGGAAGUCCUAGUAUUUUACAUU